UACAGGGGGUGCAAACGUUGCUCGGAAUCAUUGGGCGUAAAGCGCACGUAGGCGGUUCGUUAUGUCGGAUGUGAAAGCCCUUGGCUUAACCGAGGAAGUGCAUCCGAAACUGGCGAGCUAGAGUACGAAAGAGGAUCGCGGAAUUCCCGGUGUAGAGGUGAAAUUCGUAGAUAUCGGGAGGAACACCGGUGGCGAAGGCGGCGAUCUGGGUCGAUACUGACGCUGAGGUGCGAAAGCGUGCGAGCAAACAGG
rnacentral:rRNA from 1 species